GGGCCUGCAAGAUAUAGGAGGAACAGGCAGAGUGAACUUAUCUUCAUCUGAGAUAUGAAGCUGCAGAAGAAAGGCUUCUGAUCCCACCCCAGCCUCCUCCAACUCGCUUCUCUCUGCUUCUUGACCAUUAGCAGAAAUCUACCAGAAACUACAUGAGCUGACAGGAAUAAUAUGAGUGAAGUGCAAAAGUACAUCACCCGGAAAAAGGAAAAGAAAAUAACACCCACCCCAUAAUAUCGCUACAACAUGCCAAAGAGCAGAGAUUUCCAGUAUAAACACAUCCCUGCCAACAUUUCACAGAUGAAAACUCCUGCAUAUUAAAGGGUGGGGCUAGGGGCUAAGUCCAGCAGUGUGGCUGGGAGACAAAUGGCACAUGCAAACUCCAGAUGACAAAAGCAGCAAGGCAAGCCAGAUACAACAAGGCAAGAAAAAAGGCACGUAUACUGUACUGCAUUUAUACUAUUUAGAUAGGACAUACAAGUAGGCUCCAUUUCCCCUGUCUUCCCCUGUCUUCCACACCCCGGCAAGCUUCAGCUGCCAUUCUGACUGGCUCAUCUUUUCUAACAGUUGCUAUUUCAUUCUCUGUCCCUCCACCUCUUCCAGGUGCAGGUAUUUUCCAAUCUCAGCAGGCCAGGAGAACAAAACAGACACAUCUAAUCUGCAUUUAGUGCUGCACCUUUGAGUAGAAAGUAUCAGAUGAAAAGGGCGGAAAUCAUUUUAAUAUAAAAG